rnacentral:rRNA from 1 species
UCCUACGGGAGGCAGCAGUGGGGAAUAUUGGACAAUGGGGGCAACCCUGAUCCAGCAAUGCCGCGUGUGUGAAGAAGGCCUUCGGGUUGUAAAGCACUUUAGGUGGGGAAGAAGGUAGGUAUUUUAAGAGAUAACCUAUUUGACGGUACCCGCAGAAUAAGCACCGGCUAACUCUGUGCCAGCAGCCGCGGUAAUACAGAGGGUGCAAGCGUUAAUCGGAUUUACUGGGCGUAAAGGGCGCGUAGGUGGUUAUUUAAGUGAGAUGUGAAAGCCCCGGGCUUAACCUGGGAACUGCAUCUUAUACUGGGUAACUGGAGUGCAGUAGAGGGUAGUGGAAUUUCCGGUGUAGCGGUGAAAUGCGUAGAUAUCGGAAGGAACACCAGUGGCGAAGGCGGCUACCUGGACUGAGACUGACACUGAGGCGCGAGAGCGUGGGGAGCAAACAGGAUUAGAUACCCUGGUAGUCCACGCUGUAAACGAUGAAAACUAGAUGUUGGGUAGCUUAGACUAUUCAGUAUCGAAGCUAACGCGAUAAGUUUUCCGCCUGGGGAGUACGGUCGCAAGAUUAAAACUCAAAUGAAUUGACGA